rnacentral:lncRNA from 1 species
CAUUCAGCAAGUUUAAAUCCAUUCUUGCAUAUUGUUUUGAAUCCUUGUAACUGAACUGAAAGUAUUGCUGGCUGAUAAAACUUGCUAAAAUGCACAAGUCACUGAUUACGCCAAUACAACAAAGAUAACCACAUGUUUGAGGAUUGCAAUGUGCCAGACAUUCACUGAAAAAAAAAACACACAACUAAACAAAACUCACGCAACAAACAUCUGAGAAUCUGGACACUUCACAUCAGUGUUUCGAAGUGUUUCAUUAAUAUCUUAAGACAAGUGUAUCAAAACCUUGGCAUGUUUAAUUUUAAGUUGCCAAUUUUUGUUUUACUAUCAGAAAGUUAUGGCUAUACUGCCAAUGCCGGGUCUGCUUAAUUUGACUUAAGAGUUUAAUAUGACUUAAACAUUAAAAGCUCACACUACCCCGAAAUAUAUAAUUUCACGCAUACGGUGACAUUCAACAUUCAAGUGCCAGUGUUUUUGUACUGUCUUUUGGUCAAGUUUCUUUAAACUUUCAAAGAAUCACUUUUAGGCUUACAAAAAUAAAUAUUUGUCAAAAAUGUUCAAUAAAUAUUACACAAAACUAGCAGCAAAAAGUAUCUAGAAAUCUGUCGUGUGCAAAUAGUUUUCUUCCCAGCUAUCAUUCCCAUGGUCCCAAAUAAGUUUUAGAAUCUAUUUCCUUCUCCUUAAACAAGCUGCGUUCAAUCUCCAAGAGACAAAAUAAGAUUGGAAGUUAAAGACACGCACACAAGACAUAUAUAAAAUUCUCUGAAUGUGCAAUAAAAGAAGUAUUUUGUAAAAAGUUAUGGGCAAAAUGUACAAGGGCCUAAACCUAGACUUGAAAUAGCACCAUAACAAAUGACCUCAAUACUGUCAAGUGCACCUACUUAAUAAAAGUUUUAGAACAAGGCACAAUACACUUGAAAAAAUCUAUUGCACUUUAGGAGAUUUUUGCCUCUUUCCUACGCCACUGUAGAUUAGAGUUGUUAACUGCUCUGGCCACAAAGUUAGCACAGAAAUUCCAAGUGGCUUAGGCGUUUUUCUGGUGGACAAUACUUAUCUUUGGCCAGAUUUAGCAUAAACAGACUAUAAAUACAAUGGAAACCUAUGCAACUAAAACUGACUAAAACUGCACUUUAAUAGCAGAAUUGAAACCUUGUGCAGUUUAUGUACAUUUCCAACCUCUGUGAUCUCAGGUUUGUUUGUUACUCUUCUGGAGCCAUUUUACAAAGUCUACAGUAAGCCAGUUUAACAUCUCCACGCAGCUUGAACAGAGUAAUGUGAAUCUGCAUUAAAAUAAAGCCUGCUGCAUAAUUCUUCCUGUUCAUACCCUCUUGACCAAAAAACAUCAACACUAGCAUGCGUUAUUAGACCAAAAAUUCAGUCAGGCCCUUAAGGAGGACCAAUCACUGCCAUGGUCAGCCAUUCUACCAUUUCAAUUUCAUAUGGCAGGCAUUUUUAAAAAGUCUAAAUAGAUGAAUUCUCCUAAAAACUAUUUCAAGUUAUCAGACCUUUAAACGUUCCCUGUAAUAUUCUGCCCACGUUUGGCUAGCUCACAUUAAUGAUCUGCCUAAAUAUUGAAAAAGGAAUUGCUGUAUUUACUUGCAUUAACUUCAAAAACAGUGCUUUUAAUGUAUGCAUGUAUCCAUACAUCAUCUCAUCAUGACUGGAAUGGCUUAUUAAAGGCUAUCAGGUUCUAAGUACCUAUCCAGGAUAGAGUGAGCAAAUCAGAACUUUAACUUAGUACAGUUUUGCCACAUUAGAAACUAAUUGCAUUGAUAUGCUUCAAGAUGUUUUUAUUUUUCAAAUCUGCAGAUACCAAAAGCCCUAAUGCAGGCUACCGCAUAAGUUUUUCUUUGUAAUAUUAUGGAUGAAUCAGUGAUUCCUGUUUAAGUUGUAUCACACCUGUGUGCCAAGGUUUGAUUUUAGCCCAAGUUCAGUAAUUUUUAUUUUGUCUAAACAAUUGAUAUCUUGAGCAUUACUGAGCCAACAGGACAUCAAAAUAAAAAGUUGUCUAAAGUUAAAGGCACAGUACAUUAACAAACAAAUGAUCCUCAGUCACAAAAUUAUAAAUGCAGUUUCUGGGUGGGGAUGGGUGGGAGGGGAGUUAAUCCUGACUACAGCAAUAGAGUCUUCAAAACCACCUUCGAGAUAGGGCUACUUGUUCCUUUGUUUCCAUCUUGUGACCUUGAGCUCCCUUAAAAAAAAUUUCAGUGGAGAAUCACAGCUGGUAAUGUACUGCGAGUUCUUGAAGCUACACAAGGUAUAGUCUGGCUAAGUUACAUGUGGUUUCCAUAUUAGCUUGUUUGGUAGGUUAUCUGCUGCAAGCAGAUUCAGUUGCCCCACCAGUCAACCCCCUGGGAGUUAUAGUUUCCUCCAUAUCCAUCACUGUUGUAGAAGCCUCCAUAACCACCACCUCCAAAUCCUCUGCUGCCACUUCCUCCGGUACGGCCGCUGGCUGGUCGACUGCUGCUGAAGCUGCUGCUGCCAGCACCACUACUUGUUCGGUAGUCUCUGGCACCAAAUCCUCCAGUGAACCUACUACUCUUAGAUCGCCCACGGCUGCCACCUCCUUUGUGAUGCUGUUC